AUAUGAAGUUUUAUUAAAAGAAAAAGGGGUGAAAAGAACAAAGUUUUGUCCAUAUUUGUUCAUCAUAGCUGAAAGUUAGAGAAGAGAAAGGAGAGGAGAAAGCUCUUGAGUAUUCGGUCAUUAGGAGGAGGAAAAUUGAAGGCGGUUCGCGUGUGGAUCUCGUCAGCAUAUCGUCGCAAACAGGAAAUCCCCAACCAUAGUGGGCUUGGAGCUGUGAGGGAAUUCGGUGUGGCCACCCGUUCUGAAAGUUUGAUUUUCUUCUGGUGAACUGGACAUCCUUUUAAUUACGUUUGAGGUUUUGGGCUUUUAAAUU